UACGGAGGGUGCGAGCGUUGUCCGGAAUCACUGGGCGUAAAGGGCGCGUAGGCGGCCUGAUAAGUAGGGGGUGAAAUCCUGCGGCUUAACCGCAGGGCUGCCUUCUAAACUGUCAGGCUAGAGCACGGUAGAGGCAGAUGGAAUUCCCGGUGUAGCGGUGGAAUGCGUAGAGAUCGGGAAGAACAUCAGUGGCGAAGGCGGUCUCGCUGGGCCGUUGCUGACGCUGAGGCGCGACAGCGGUGGGGGAGCAA
rnacentral:rRNA from 1 species